AAUCUGUUCCAUCGCCAGGGCUU
rnacentral:piRNA from 1 species